GAUGAACGCUGGCGGCGUGCCUAAUACAUGCAAGUCGAGCGAAUGGAUUAAGAGCUUGCUCUUAUGAAGUUAGCGGCGGACGGGUGAGUAACACGUGGGUAACCUGCCCAUAAGACUGGGAUAACUCCGGGAAACCGGGGCUAAUACCGGAUAACAUUUUGAACCGCAUGGUUCGAAAUUGAAAGGCGGCUUCGGCUGUCACUUAUGGAUGGACCCGCGUCGCAUUAGCUAGUUGGUGAGGUAACGGCUCACCAAGGCAACGAUGCGUAGCCGGCCUGGGAGGGUGAUCGGCAACACUGGGACGGAGACACGGACCAGACUCCUACGGGAGGCAGCAGUAGGGAAUCUUCCGCAAUGGACGAAAGUCUGACGGAGCAACGCCGCGUGAGUGAUGAAGGCUUUCGGGUCGUAAAACUCUGUUGUUAGGGAAGAACAAGUGCUAGUUGAAUAAGCUGGCACCUUGACGGUACCUAACCAGAAAGCCACGGCUAACUACGUGCCAGCCGCCGCAGUAA
rnacentral:rRNA from 1 species